GGAGCUGUGGCUUAGUGGUAGAGCAUUGGCAUUGCGUGCGAAAGGCCCCAGGUUCAAUUCCUGGCAUCUUCA